rnacentral:misc_RNA from 1 species
UACGAAGGGCCCGAGCGUUAAUCGGAAUCACUGGGCUUAAAGGGUGCGCAGGCGGAUCUGCAAGUACUUUGUGAAAUCCCAGAGCUCAACUCUGGAGUUGCUUGGUAAACUGCAGGUCUUGAGCACGACAGAGGCUGUCGGAACGCUAGGUGGAGCGGUGAAAUGCGUAGAUAUCUAGCGGAACGCCAAAGGAGAAGUCAGACAGCUGGGUCGUCGCUGACGCUCAGGCACGAAAGCAUGGGGAGCGAACAGG